rnacentral:lncRNA from 1 species
AUGAAACCGGGCUUGAAGCCACUAUUAAUGCCAUUCUCGCCUAGCCAAUCAUCACAAGAAUUAUCAGGUAUUGAAGUUGUAAUUAGAGCCUGUUUAAUUCAGUUGUAAUUACCAAACAUAGUAUAUCUAUUGCAGUUGAUAUAUGUAUUAUGCAUUAUGAUGAUUGAUGAACACUUUUUUAGGUUACUGUUUGUAUGUGUAUAUAUAUUUAUUUAUUAUAUGAACAUUAUACUUUUUCUUUAAUAAAGGUUCUUUGUUUGACUUUUGUAGUUGGAUUGGAUUUCACUAAUAGCUAGCUGGUAUAUAUUUUUCCUAAAGGAACUUUUGUAUCAUAUUAAUUUGUUCGAUUACUUUGAAACCAUCAGACUAUAUGUAUCGCUAUUAAUGGAUUUGUUUACUUUUGCUCUUGAUUGAUGUAAAGUUAGUGUUAUUUACAGCUAUGAACCAACAUCAUUGAUCUCGCUGAUCCAAAUGAGCUUGAGUAAGUUAUUAUUAUCUAUAAAUUUUGGGUAGUAAAGAUAUAAAGAUUAUAUUGUUUUUCUAUGUCGGAUAUUUAUCUUCUUGUAGGUGGUGGUGGCCAUUACUGUGGUAACAGGUAAAUUGUUGAGUAAAAUGAUUUAGGAGGUUGUAUGAAUAAAAAUUCUUUUUUGACUGAGUGAUUGGUUUAACCCAUUUUCGAUCUAAACACAACAAAGACUGACGCUUCUAUAAAUAAAUGGUUUGGAACUGCUACUUGUCUAAGCAAACUUUUUAUCAUCUUUUCUAAAGCAUAUUUUCUUUAACAUAUGAAUGCAGCUUGCUGUGAAAAGUUAUCACCAUCUAAUUGAGGCCACGUUCAAAGAUUUUGCAAGAGCUCUUAGAUAAGCGAUAGAAUACGACCGACGGUGACGUGGCACUAUCCCUAGGUUAGUUCUCAUACAUAUAUCUGAAAUGUAUACUUUUCUAAGGACGUUUGUGCCUUUUUCAAUAUAGACAAACAAUAUUGUUGUUCAUUAAAUCUGUGUUACAAAAUAAAAAAACAGAAACUACAAAAGAACAUAUGCUAUAGCUCAAAAGAGGUAUUGGCGCGUUCCUGGAGUGCGCUCUA